UACGUAGGGUGCAAGCGUUGUCCGGAAUUACUGGGCGUAAAGAGCUCGUAGGUGGUUUGUCGCGUUGUCCGUGAAAACUCACAACUCAAUUGUGGGCGUGCGGGCGAUACGGGCAGACUGGAGUACUGCAGGGGAGACUGGAAUUCCUGGUGUAGCGGUGAAAUGCGCAGAUAUCAGGAGGAACACCGGUGGCGAAGGCGGGUCUCUGGGCCGAUACUGACGCUGAGGCGCGAAAGCGUGGGGAGCAAACAGG
rnacentral:rRNA from 1 species